rnacentral:rRNA from 1 species
GUGUCAGCCGCCGCGGUAAGACGAACCGUGCAAACGUUGUUCGGAAUCACUGGGCUUAAAGGGCGCGUAGGCGGAUGGUCAAGUCCGGGGUGAAAUCUUUCGGCUCAACCGGAAAAUAGCUUCGGAUACUGACUGUCUCGAGGGAGGUAGGGGCAUGUGGAACUUCCGGUGGAGCGGUGAAAUGCGUUGAUAUCGGAAGGAACGCCGGUGGCGAAAGCGACGUGCUGGACCUUUUCUGACGCUGAUGCGCGAAAGCUAGGGGAGCAAACGGGAUUAGAUACCCCGGUAGUCCUAGCCCUAAACGAUGGGUACUAGGUUGUGGACUUGACAUGGGUUCACAGCCGAAGCAAAAGUGUUAAGUACCCCGCCUGGGGAGUAUGGUCGCAAGGCUGAA